GCCUGGAUGGUCUAAUUGGUUAUGACGUUGGUCUCAUAGCGAUACUAUGACUCUGCUCGACGCAGGGAGGCAUCCGAAGGUCGUGAGUUCGAUCCUCACUCCGGGCA